UACGAAGGGGGCUAGCGUUGCUCGGAAUCACUGGGCGUAAAGCGCACGUAGGCGGCUUUUUAAGUCAGGGGUGAAAUCCUGGAGCUCAACUCCAGAACUGCCUUUGAUACUGGGAAGCUUGAGUCCGGAAGAGGUGAGUGGAACUCCGAGUGUAGAGGUGAAAUUCGUAGAUAUUCGGAAGAACACCAGUGGCGAAGGCGGCUCACUGGCCCGGUACUGACGCUGAGGUGCGAAAGCGUGGGGAGCAAACAGGG
rnacentral:rRNA from 1 species